ensembl:lncRNA
UUCGCAAUCCCUCUUUUUUCUGCAAGUGCAUCUGUGGGAGUUGUGCUAUAUUUUGUGUCUGUGGCUCUGUGGGAUCCCUGAGGUGUCACUGACAACAAAGCAUCGCCUACAAAGAAUCCGACAAAAUCAAUGACAAGACCCGGUAGAAAAAGGGGUAUUGGAAAGAGAGUGUGAUGCCGCUGAGUGAGGAGGACAAGUGGUGUGGAGGAAAGGAGAUAUGUGCAUGAUGUCAAGGACUAGUAAACAGCUCACCCUAAGAACCAGGAUAGCAGAUAUUCCUCUCCAGAGUUUGAGUAGAGUAGACACAUGUCUCCAUAAGUACACCCUGAAGCCCCCGGGCUGCUGUGAAGGAUGUUUACCAAUGCUGAUCCCGUUGAAAUGAGCAUCUUUCAGGUUGCUGCAGUG